AUUGAACGCUGGCGGCAUGCUUUACACAUGCAAGUCGAACGGCAGCGCGGGCUUCGGCCUGGCGGCGAGUGGCGAACGGGUGAGUAAUACAUCGGAACGUGCCCAGUAGUGGGGGAUAGCUCGGCGAAAGCCGGAUUAAUACCGCAUACGACCUGAGGGUGAAAGCGGGGGAUCUUCGGACCUCGCGCUAUUGGAGCGGCCGAUGGCAGAUUAGCUAGUUGGUGGGGUAAAGGCCUACCAAGGCGACGAUCUGUAGCUGGUCUGAGAGGACGACCAGCCACACUGGGACUGAGACACGGCCCAGACUCCUACGGGAGGCAGAAGUGGGGAAUUUGGACAAUGGGCGAAAGCCUGAUCCAGCAAUGCCGCGUGUGUGAUGAAGGCCUUCGGGUUGUAAAGCACUUUUGGCGGGAACGAAAAGGACUGUGCCAAUACCACGGUUCGAUGACGGUACCCGCAGAAUAAGCACCGGCUAACUACGUG
rnacentral:rRNA from 1 species